rnacentral:lncRNA from 1 species
CGAACCCCAGUCUCCCUCAUUGCAGGCAGAUUCUUUACAAGCUGAGCCACAAGGGAGCCCAAGAAUGCUGGAGUGGAUCACCUAUCCCUUCUCCAGGGAUCUUCCUGACCUCUGGAUUUUGAUCAAAACCCAGUUUGAAUUUGCUUGCAAACUAACAUCAGGUGGAAGUGUACACUGCACGUCUUCACACAGUUAA